rnacentral:rRNA from 1 species
AAAUUGAAGAGUUUGAUCAUGGCUCAGAUUGAACGCUGGCGGCAGGCCUAACACAUGCAAGUCGAGCGGUAGCACAGAGAGCUUGCUCUCGGGUGACGAGCGGCGGACGGGUGAGUAAUGUCUGGGAAACUGCCUGAUGGAGGGGGAUAACUACUGGAAACGGUAGCUAAUACCGCAUAAUGUCGCAAGACCAAAGUGGGGGACCUUCGGGCCUCAUGCCAUCAGAUGUGCCCAGAUGGGAUUAGCUAGUAGGUGGGGUAACGGCUCACCUAGGCGACGAUCCCUAGCUGGUCUGAGAGGAUGACCAGCCACACUGGAACUGAGACACGGUCCAGACUCCUACGGGAGGCAGCAGUGGGGAAUAUUGCACAAUGGGCGCAAGCCUGAUGCAGCCAUGCCGCGUGUGUGAAGAAGGCCUUCGGGUUGUAAAGCACUUUCAGCGGGGAGGAAGGCGGUAAGGUUAAUAACCUCAUCGAUUGACGUUACCCGCAGAAGAAGCACCGGCUAACUCCGUGCCAGCAGCCGCGGUAAUACGGAGGGUGCAAGCGUUAAUCGGAAUUACUGGGCGUAAAGCGCACGCAGGCGGUCUGUCAAGUCGGAUGUGAAAUCCCCGGGCUCAACCUGGGAACUGCAUUCGAAACUGGCAGGCUAGAGUCUUGUAGAGGGGGGUAGAAUUCCAGGUGUAGCGGUGAAAUGCGUAGAGAUCUGGAGGAAUACCGGUGGCGAAGGCGGCCCCCUGGACAAAGACUGACGCUCAGGUGCGAAAGCGUGGGGAGCAAACAGGAUUAGAUACCCUGGUAGUCCACGCCGUAAACGAUGUCGAUUUGGAGGUUGUGCCCUUGAGGCGUGGCUUCCGGAGCUAACGCGUUAAAUCGACCGCCUGGGGAGUACGGCCGCAAGGUUAAAACUCAAAUGAAUUGACGGGGGCCCGCACAAGCGGUGGAGCAUGUGGUUUAAUUCGAUGCAACGCGAAGAACCUUACCUGGUCUUGACAUCCACAGAACUUUCCAGAGAUGGAUUGGUGCCUUCGGGAACUGUGAGACAGGUGCUGCAUGGCUGUCGUCAGCUCGUGUUGUGAAAUGUUGGGUUAAGUCCCGCAACGAGCGCAACCCUUAUCCUUUGUUGCCAGCGGUUCGGCCGGGAACUCAAAGGAGACUGCCAGUGAUAAACUGGAGGAAGGUGGGGAUGACGUCAAGUCAUCAUGGCCCUUACGACCAGGGCUACACACGUGCUACAAUGGCAUAUACAAAGAGAAGCGACCUCGCGAGAGCAAGCGGACCUCAUAAAGUAUGUCGUAGUCCGGAUUGGAGUCUGCAACUCGACUCCAUGAAGUCGGAAUCGCUAGUAAUCGUAGAUCAGAAUGCUACGGUGAAUACGUUCCCGGGCCUUGUACACACCGCCCGUCACACCAUGGGAGUGGGUUGCAAAAGAAGUAGGUAGCUUAACCUUCGGGAGGGCGCUUACCACUUUGUGAUUCAUGACUGGGGUGAAGUCGUAACAAGGUAACCGUAGGGGAACCUGCGGUUGGAUCACCUCCUUA